CUUGCAACAACUUUAAGGAAGACUCUCCUAAAGACUUGAGCUCUAAUAAAUGUGCCUGAACCCUGGAGAACACACAUAUGUAAGGUGACAUGGUGGCCUUGGAGGGACUAGAGGGUUGAUGCAGGACUGAAUCUUAAGACCAUUUAUGCUGCUACAGGUAACAUUAGAAGGGACAAUGAUGUAAGUAUGAAUACGUAAGUAGACGAUCAAAAGAAAUGUUCACUUGAUAUGGGCUUUGUCCAUGGGAUUUGGUUCACUUGGUUUGCAUCUGUAAAUUAGUCAGGUCUCAGUGGAUCUUUAAAGAUCCAGGCAAGGUCUUAACACUGUUGAAAAGGAAAUUUUAUAACCCCCUUUAAAAUGCUGUAUUUUAAUGCAAACCAUACUUAUGGGUAUGAAUUUCAGAUAAUGCAGGUAUGGGUGCCAAUCUAAGACCUUAAGUAAAGAACGUUCUCUAAUUCAUUUUUGGGACUGUUAGUGACCAAGUCACCUUCUUCUGUAUUUAUGUAACUGGCAAUUACUCCUGACAUAGUGUAAGCAUCCCAUCCUAUUAGGAGUUAAUUUCUUUCUCAGAGCUACAUUCACUGCUGAGAACUUUUGACUGUUUGAAAGUACAAUAUUCCAUUUAGCUGGUAUUGACCUGAUUUUGCCCAGUUAAAGAUUCGAGGGUCAUCUAACUUACCAAUGAAAUGCAAGCUCAUGAUUUGUUACAUAAAGUCAAACUUAUGCGGCUUAAUUACUCGUGAACAUUUUGUUGGUGAAGAGCUGAAAGUUACUGUCCAGAGCUUUUAGCAAUGAUAUUCCAUAGUGUUCCCUACAGCAAUGUUAAUCUAAGCAUGGAGAUGUGCUGUAAAGGACAAUUCUUUAAGCUCUUGGAGUGGAGCAAUUAUAAACUGAAUCCACACAACAGCUGAAUACUGCAAGCCAGUAAUCCUGCUAAUGAACGGAUAGAUUUUAGAACAAUUCAGAAAAAUCAGAGUUUGACAGUAAAGGACAAGUCUCACAGCAAAAACUCAGUAUAUUGAAUAAAGGGGCACUUAACAUUUAUAUUGCAAUGUUUUAUCCAUUUUAUAGAACAUCAUAUAUCCACUAUGGAAGUCAGGUUUGUAUUUCCAAUCUAAAAAUGAGGUUUUUUUAGUUAACCUUUGGAUCCUUUUUAGAUUACUAACCAUGAACCUUUGAAAGCUGUAGUUAACACUAAUCCUGCUUUAAUUCUUAAUGAGUUAAGAACCUGAAAAUGGAAGUUAUUUGGAGCUUAUGUUCAAAAUUCAUCUAAAAUUGUAAGCAAGUUUUUCAAUGGUCUAGUGUUCAUACAACUGUUUUAUAAAUUGUUUGCCACUUUUUACUUUACAGAGGAGUAUUUUCAAAGUAAU